AUUGAACGCUGGCGGCAGGCCUAACACAUGCAAGUCGAACGAGCGGCGGACGGGUGAGUAAUGUCUGGGAAACUGCCCGAUGGCGGGGGAUAACUACUGGAAACGGUAGCUAAUACCGCAUACCAUCAGAUGUACCCAUAUGGGAUUAGCUUGUUGGUGGGGUAACGGCUCACCAAGGCGACGAUCCCUAGCUGGUCUGAGAGGAUGACCAUCCACACUGGAACUGAGACACGGUCCAGACUCCUACGGGAGGCAGCAGUGGGGAAUAUUGCACAAUGGGCGCAAUCCUGAUGCAGCCAUGCCGCGUGUAUGAAGAAGGCCUUCGGGUUGUAGAGUACUUUCAGCGGGGAGGCGUUACCCGCAGAAGAAGCACCGGCUAACUCCGUGCCAGCAGCCGCGGUAAUUC
rnacentral:rRNA from 1 species